rnacentral:rRNA from 1 species
UACAGAGGUCUCAAGCGUUGUUCGGAAUUACUGGGCGUAAAGCGCACGUAGGCGGCUUUGCAAGUCAGAGGUGAAAGCCCGGGGCUCAACCCCGGAAUUGCCUUUGAGACUGCAUCGCUAGAAUUGUGGAGAGGUAAGUGGAAUUCCGAGUGUAGAGGUGAAAUUCGUAGAUAUUCGGAAGAACACCAGUGGCGAAGGCGACUUACUGGACACAUAUUGACGCUGAGGUGCGAAAGCGUGGGGAGCAAACAGG